UAAGUAGCCAGCCCACACGGGGCUCAUGAGCACUUGAACUGUGGCUAGUCCGAUUUGCGACGUGCAGUAAGUGUAAAAUACACACCAGAUUUUGAAGACUCGGGACAGAAAAAAGAGACCUGCUCUACUGGAUUCUGCCAAUGACACAAUCACCAAUUCAGAGGAACUCACAGGCUAUGAGACUCUCUUACCUAUUCAGAACAUAAAUUCGAUUAACAUUUAGAAAAAAAAUAAAAAUAACAUGCAAAGCUGAGCUGACCUCUGGGCUCGGUAGAUGUAUUUAGAGUUUCCCGUGAGGCGGUACAGCAGCAGGAAGACGUAAGCACUGCCAGCUACACCGUGGCAAAUCCCCGGCCCCUUCUUCAGCAGGCCCUUCUGCCACGCAAAACUGGGAGUCCUUCCAGAAACAACAAUGAUCCCAAACGACCUGGCCAAGAUUUCUACUCCAGCUGUGAAGCGAGUCCUUCCCUACUCGAUUGUUCCAAAGGAAGACAUUUGCCUUCAAAACUCAACAGAGGCAGUCUUAAUUACACAGGCGGGAACAGAAACAAGAGAAGCGACAGCUAUUAAUAGAAACGAUUUCCCCCAAGUUCCAGGUACUCAUAUUCGGAGAGGAGAUUAGUAACACAAGAUCCCUCUCUCUCCUGCAUGGCCUCUAAGUGUCUCCCACAUAAGUGGGAAGACUGGAAUUUAGCAGGUAUCUCAACUAGCUCAUCCAUCAGGGUUAUCUCUGCCUUUCACUGUCUUUUGACCAGCCUAUUUUACAACUCUGUGGAGACAGAAAUUACCUUGUAAACAACUGAUAGUAAUGUAAAUAAUUCCUAUUCCUAGAAAAUCACAUUCUGUCUGGGAGAGCUUGUUUUGACUUCCCUUGGCCUUUGUGGAAGCAGCCAGUUUUGCAUCUAUUAAGCAAAUUCAUGUCAGCACUCCUAAUGGCCCAUAAAUAUGUCUGCUCCUGGAAUUUUCCUUUGAAACCAGCUAUAACACCUUUCCGGUUCCCUCAUUAAUUAAUGAGCUAAA